CCUACGGGCGGCAGCAGUGAGGACUAUUGGUCAAUGGACGAGAGUCUGAACCAGCCAAGUAGCGUGAAGGAUGACUGCCCUAUGGGUUGUAACCUUCUUUUAUAAAGGAAUAAAACGAGGCACGUGUGCCUUUUUGCAUGUACUUUAUGAAUAAGGAUCGGCUAACUCCGUGCCAGCAGCCGCGGUAAUACGUAGGAUCCGAGCGUUAUCCGGAUUUAUUGGGUUUAAAGGGAGAGUAGAUGGGUUGUUAAGUCAGUUGUGAAAGUUUGCGGCUCAACCGUAAAAUUGCAAUUGAUACUGGCAGUCUUGAGUACAGUUGAGGUAGGCGGAAUUCGUGGUGUAGCGGUGAAAUGCUUAGAUAUCACGAAGAACCCCGAUUGCGAAGGCAGCUUACUAAACUGUGACUGACAUUGAUGCUCGAAAGUGUGGGUAUCAAACAGGAUUAGAUACCCCUGUAGUC
rnacentral:rRNA from 1 species